CACGCAUGGCCCAGAGCUGGAAGGGGAGGAUGGACAGGGAGGGGUGAUGAGAGAGGGGGCUGCAGAAUAAUUACAGGAGGAAAGAGGGAGGAUGAGAGAGGCAGAAGAGCGAGAGAGACACACAGGGAUGUUAAGGUGCCAGAGGAGUUUUUUCCAUGGAGAGGUAGCAAGUAGUCACAAACUCGAUCAGUGGGGCUAAGAGCAGCAGAGGUAGGAUGCUGAUCACAUUCAUGGCACCGAUGGGCAACAGGUGGUCGUUCAGAUCCAUUAUAUUCCCAAUGACCUGCCUGUGUGAUGCAGGCUCUGUACAGCAACUGAAGCCCGUAAAGAGGGAAGAGCUUGGCCAGGACUUUGACGUUCUCUACAUGUGUUUCGCUAUAACAGCCGC